rnacentral:rRNA from 1 species
AACGUAGGUGGCGAGCGUUAUCCGGAUUUACUGGGCGUAAAGCGUGCGCAGGCGGUGAUGUAAGACCGAUGUGAAAUCCCCGGGCUUAACCUGGGAACUGCAUUGGUGACUGCAUUGCUGGAGUAUGGCAGAGGGGGGUGGAAUUCCACGUGUAGCAGUGAAAUGCGUAGAGAUGUGGAGGAACACCGAUGGCGAAGGCAGCCCCCUGGGCCAAUACUGACGCUCAUGCACGAAAGCGUGGGGAGCAAACAGG